UACGUAGGUGGCAAGCGUUGUCCGGAUUUACUGGGCGUAAAGCGAGCGUAGUCGGUUAUUUAAGUCGGGUGUGAAAGCCCCGGGCUCAACCUGGGAAUUGCAUUCGAUACUGGAUAGCUAGAGUUCGGCAGAGGGAAGCGGAAUUUCCGGUGUAGCGGUGAAAUGCGUAGAUAUCGGAAGGAACAUCAGUGGCGAAAGCGGCUUCCUGGACCAGAACUGACGAUCAGGCUCGAAAGCGUGGGGAGCAAACAGG
rnacentral:rRNA from 1 species